UACCAGCCCCCUGAGUGGUAAGGAUGAUUAUUUGGCCUAAAGCGUUCGUAGCCGGCUUGACAAGUCUUUUGUUAAAUCCAACGAUUCAAUCGUUGGGCCGCAAAAGAUACUGUUAUGCUAGAGGACGGGAGAGGUCGACGGUAGUCCAGGGGUAGGGGUGAAAUCCUAUAAUCCUUGGAGGACCACCAGUGGCGAAGGCGGUCGACUAGAACGUGCCUGACGGUGAGGGACGAAAGCUGGGGGAGCGAACCGGAUUAGAUACCCGGGUAGUCCCAGCUGUAAACGAUGCGGGCUAGGUGUUGGGGUAGCCACGAGCUGCCCCAGUGCCGCAGAGAAGUUGUUAAGCCCGCCGCCUGGGGAUACGGCCGCAAGGCUGAAACUUAAAGGAAUUGGCGGGGAGCACCACAAGGGGUGAAGGCUGCGGUUU
rnacentral:rRNA from 1 species